rnacentral:miRNA from 1 species
ACUGAGUUGGCCCAAAAAGUUCAUUUGGGUUUUUCCAUUAUAUCUUACAGGAAAACCCAAAUGAACUUAUUGGCCAAACUCAAU